AAUCAAUCAUCACUAAAAACACACACAAAAGGCUGUUUUUAGCUGCUGAUUAUGACAGAGGGAAUCAUACGAUCAGGGAUAGAACGAUCAGGGAGUGCUUCCUAGCAGGCUAGGAAGGCUGUGACAAGGAGCUGUGGUGUAUCCAGAGGAGGUGGCAGGACCCUAUCAAUCCGAAGCAUGGGCACUGGGGCAGCACUCGCACAACUGGAAAGCAUGCUGCAAUGAACUUAAUUCCACUUCUAUCAAAAACAACCAUUAAACUCCGCGUGGUUAUGCACAAAAAGACUUCAAGACGCAUGCAGCACCAAUAGGCCGGGGCUGUAGCCCCACACCACUACAGCAAUAGCCUGUGCGCCUCAGCACGACGAUACCCACCCGCCCCAAUACAACCGCCCUCAAUACAACAUCCCCCCCCCCGCCAACGGCCUUAACGGCCGCGCGUUCUCGCGAGAGCACCGCCCCUCCCCGUCCGCCGCCCGAUGAUGCCAGGGGGCGGAGCGCUACUUUGAACCGGCGCGGGGCGCGGGGCGUUAUGGGCACGGUGGAGCUGCGGUCAGACGAGGGCUUUGCUGCCGGCCCGAGGCGUAUCGAGGUGCCCCGGCCGCCAUCUAUCGAGGAGUUCACCAUCGUGAAGCCCAUCAGCCGCGGCGCCUUCGGGAAGGUGUACCUGGGCCGCAAGGCGGGCCGGCUGUACGCCGUGAAGGUGAUGAAAAAAGCAGACAUGAUCAAUAAGAACAUGGUUCACCAGGUCCAGGCAGAGAGGGAUGCGCUGGCUCUCAGCAAAAGUCCUUUUAUUGUGCACUUAUACUACUCGCUUCAGUCAGCCAAUAAUGUCUAUUUGGUCAUGGAGUACCUUAUUGGUGGUGAUGUCAAAUCUCUUCUCCAUAUUUAUGGAUAUUUUGAUGAAGAAAUGGCUGUCAAGUAUAUUUCUGAGGCAGCGCUGGCUCUUGACUAUCUUCACAGACAUGGGAUAAUCCACAGGGAUCUGAAGCCAGACAACAUGCUCAUUUCUAAUCAGGGCCACAUAAAGCUGACAGAUUUUGGGCUUUCCAGAGUUACUCUGAACAGAGAGAUAAACAUGAUAGAUAUCCUUACUACACCAUCAAUGGCAAAGCCAAAACAUGACUACUCACGUACUCCAGGACAACUGUUGUCUCUUAUCAGCUCUCUGGGUUUUUAUACUCCUGCUGGAAUGAAAAUGCCAGUCAAUCCCAAUUCAAGUGGAGCAUCCGACAGUCUGCAUGAAGUGAUUUCACCCUUAUCCAUGAUCGAGAAGGAAAAUACUCCUCUUUCAACUAAAUUAUUCAAAACAGGUCUUGAUACUUCUCCAUUAACUCCUGUUAUGCCAGUGAGAAGUUUAACUCCUGCUCUGCUUCAGUCAAGAGAAAGGUUUGGUACCCCCCCUGCCAGUAGUCAGUUACACACAUAUUUGUCCAGUAUGGAAUCAGAAUGCUGCAGCAGCCCCAGGUGGGAGAAAGAUGUAGAGCAAACCGAAGAUGAAAUAUGUUCUACGGGCACAAGUAACAGCAGGCCAGCUCUCUCUUCUAAUAGAGAAUUACUGAAUAGCAAAGAUCCUAAAGUUUUUAAGAAAAAAGAGCUAGAAUCUGCUAUUUCUCCAAUCAGUAGCAAUGAUUCUGGUAGCAGGCAGAAGCUGGGAACUGAACGUUCUGAUAUAACAGAUACUCCAGUGACCACUCUGGAUACGAAAGGAAUAGUAAGAAAAUGCCUUUCAGAAAACAAGAUCUGGGAACAAAAACUCGUUGCAAAUAGAGAGAUGACCAACGAAACGUCAGAAACUGCCAGUUACCAACAGUCACCUUUGUUCCUGAAUGAUCCUGUCAAGCCUAUCAAAGAAGAAGAAAUAUUUGAAAAGCCAGGUGUAAAAAGAAGCUUUGAACUAGUUGACACUAGUCCUUGUCAGGAACUUAACUACGUUAAAAAAACAAAUGCAGAAUAUAAACGUGGCUGUCAGAUCUCAGAAUUUCCAGCAAACAAAAGUACAGGUUUGACAACUGAAAUUCAAUCCUUAAUGCUUGGUGGUGAGACCUGCAAAAGCAAGGAAGUGAAGAGAUGUAGUGAUAGGCAACAAACAGAAAAACCAGUUGUUCCAAUUGUAGUUAAAAAUCUUUUGUGUGAUCUGGAUGCAGACCAUGAAAAGGAUAAAAAAGAGUAUAUGAACUCAAGUCUUCUAUGCACUGAUGAUGAAAAACCUCUAGGAAUGCUGAGUGCGGAUUCUGACUUCUCGUUUCCUGAAAUGUCUGUUCCAGAAAGCCAUUUAGAAAAGCAGCUCCUAGAUUUGGAUAAAGGUGUUAAAGACCUCUCCUUUGAGGAACCUAAAGCAGAAGACUUGCUAACAACAUCACCCAACUGCCAAGAUGCUCUGCAAAAUGGGGAAGAAGCUGAUGUUGUUCAGAACUGCAAGAUGUUAUGCUGUGAGCAGGAUAAUCACCAAAAACGCACUGAAGAAACCUACCCUGACACCGUAUCGUCUCCUUCUGAAAAGAUGAUGGAAACAAUCAAUCUCUUCAGAAAAAACAACGUUGUUUUUCGAAGUUAUAAUAGUCCAAUUAAUGUAUCUAAUGUGUCUGAUCCAUGUAGCCUGGCUUCUUUAGACAUAAUGGAUCUUUCACCUGCUUGUAGUGGCUCUUACCCAACAGCUAUUACUCCAUUACAGAAAGGAAGACCAUAUCGAGCCUAUCAGACACCUUGUCAGGGGGAUGCUGGCACACCGUACAGGACCCCGAAGAGUGUAAGAAGAGGAGCUGCCCCUGUUGAAGGGGAACGCAUCCUGGGGACUCCAGACUAUUUGGCGCCUGAGCUGCUUUUAACAAAGCCUCAUGGGACUCUGAUCUCUGGUUCUGCUGUAGACUGGUGGGCUCUCGGUGUUUGCCUGUUUGAGUUUCUAACUGGAAUUCCACCUUUUAAUGAUGAAACACCAGCACAAGUCUUCCAAAAUAUUUUGAAAAGAGAUAUUCCCUGGCCAGAGGGUGAAGAAAAGCUGUCUGACAAUGCCCAAAAUGCAAUAGAUAUUCUUCUAACCAUUGACAGUACUAAGAGAGCUGGACUGAAGGAACUGAAGCAUCACCCUCUCUUUCAUGGUGUCGACUGGGAUAACCUACAGAAUCAGCCUAUGCCCUUCAUACCGCAGCCGGAUGAUGAGACGGAUACCUCUUACUUUGAAGCUAGGAAUAAUGCGCAGCACCUGACUGUGUCUGGAUUUAGCCUAUAGCAUCGAGAUGAACUCUCCAUGUUUUUUGCACACUUACAGGUUGUUCUAUAACACUAGUAUGCUCUCAAGAUUACUUGCCAAAUUCAGUGUUUUAAGUUCCCAGACUGCUUUUAUUAUUGUAUCCUUUACUCUGAAGUGAAAUUACUGUAUGAAAUUUAGCUGCCUUCAUGCUACUCUUUGUUUCAGGUACUGCACCUUACUGGAGCCAGAGUGUUGUAUUUCUUAGAGGAGGGAAUUGAGCUGUCCCUUCGUUGCCCUGCUCCCUGGGAGAUGAGACUUAGCGAUGGAAGUCUGAGAGAAUACUUUGCUAGGCUCCGUGCUUUCAUUCCAGGUAGCUUGGGAAAGGUAUGGUGGGGGGCGGGAAGCUUCUGAAAGGGCAGAAGGGCUAAUUCUUAUUAACUCAGAGCAUUUAUCCCUCUUAGAGCUGGUAUGUUUUGUAGUGGAAUAGAAUCCUGGGAAGCUGCAAAACACACAGUGACCCUCGCUCUGUUUGCCAAGGACUUCAGUUUCUGAAGACUUGUAAAUUGUUGAAUCUUAUGGAAAGCAAUGUUACAUGAACAAUAUGCAAGGAAUUAAAUGUAAUAACAUUACAUUUAAUGAAUAUGAUCAAAGUUCUUUACGAUUCUACUUUAAUAAAAAUGCAAAUUUCUGCUCUGUAGACUUUGGAAAAUAUAAAUUAAAACAAAAAAACAAUCAUUAUACAAUUUAUUCCUUUUUUAUUGCACUCUGGUUUAAGAGAACUGAUCUUACAGGAAUGAGUAUCUGUUUCAUGCUAAGAAAAAUAUUCUAUAAAAAUGUGUUCAGGAAUGAUGCAAAUCAAACACUGCAGCUGUUGUAUAUAGUACUUUGCGGAGAGUGAUAAAGUGCUCCUUGUCACGGGGGGAGAUGGUUACAGCGGUUGGCAUUUUGAAGAUAAGCAGCCUCUAACUCCUUGAAAUCAUUCUUAAUCAGGUGCAAGAGACAAGUGAGCUUCUAAGCUUUUCCAAACCAAUUGCAAGGAGCUACAGAACUACAGUUCAGCUGACUUCUAGGUAACGUAAAGCUAUUGCAAUUACAUAGAGCUAGAGAGGAUGGUACAGGAAGAUGCCAGGCAUAAAGAGUUGUAUUAAUUUACUGUGGUUUUUCUAAUGGUUAUACAAUGCAAUACAAAACCACAGAGGGUGUAGAACCAGAAAUGUGCUGACAAACCAGCAUGUUUAAUGCAAACCACUGCAGUACAUGUAUGUGGCUGUCUGCAUCUGUUAAACUCUGCACAGUUAGCAGUGAGGAUAAGUAAUAGCCCAUUCUCUUUGUACCGUGUAUCUAUCCUGAUCUUGGCAAACAUGGCAUUAUUACUGCUUGGUGUGUGGGGGGGGGUUGUUUAAAGCAGCGUAUUCUGGCUGCAUUCUUCAACAUGAAUUGUCUGCCAGAGCUUCCUUGUUCCCCUGCAUACCACUGCUUUUCCCCAGUUACUAGCUGACUGGAAAUGCUACAGGCAAGAAAUACAGAAAGCCAUAAUCAAAUGUGGGUGCUGAAAGUGAUUUAAAGCUUCUUCUCCAUUAAUAAGGAACUACAGCUAUUUGCAUAAGCUGGCAAAGGUGUUGGUCCCUUGCAGCUGGAGUGUUUGACCUGGUGUUUUGGGCAGGCCUGUGCUUGCUUUACGUACAGCGUGCAUAACCCACGCAACUUGGGAGCAGCAGGGCUCCCUGGAGGACAGGUUGCCUGCUGUUUGCUGGACAAGUGUGCUGGAAACCAUAGAGAUCUGUAAUUGUCACAGAAAUAGCAAAGCUCUGCUGUUCUGACUGCUGCUAAGUUGCUGUUGGGCAUGCCUUUAUGCUGCACCAUGGGUGGACACAAAGAUUCUGGAAUGCUGAUGUGUUCUGCAGCAAGGAAGUUCCAAUUCCAGUGUGAUCAGGCUUCAGCUUUGGUUACUCCU